AUUGAACGCUGGCGGCAGGCCUAACACAUGCAAGUCGAGCGAGCGGCGGACUAGUGAGUAAUGUAUGGGGACUGCCCGAUAGAGGGGGAUAACUACUGGAAACGGUUGCUAAUACUGCAUACUGUCUGAUGACCCAUAUGGGAUUAGCUAGUAGGUAAGGUAAUGGCUUACCUAGGCGACGAUCCCUAGCUUGUCUGAGAGGAUGAUCAGCCAAACGGGGACUGAGACACGGCCCAGACUCCUACGGAGGAAGCAGUGGGGAAUAUUGCACAAUGGGCGCAAGCCUGAUGCAGCCAUGCCGCGUGUAUGAAGAAGGCCCUAGGGUUGUAAAGUACUUUCAGUCGGGAGGCGUUACCGACAGAAGAAGCACCGGCUAACUCCGUGCCAGCAGCCGCGGUAAUUC
rnacentral:rRNA from 1 species